GACGAACGCUGGCGGCGUGCUUAACACAUGCAAGUCGAACGGAAAGGCCCUGCUUUUGUGGGGUGCGCGAGUGGCGAACGGGUGAGUAACACGUGAGUAACCUGCACUUGACUUUGGGAUAACUUCAGGAAACUGGGGCUAAUACCGGAUAGGAGCUCCUGCUGCAUGGUGGGGGUUGGUAAGUUUCGGCGGUUGGGGAUGGACUCGCGGCUUAUCAGCUUGUUGGUGGGGUAGUGGCUUACCAAGGCUUUGACGGGUAGCCGGCCUGGGAGGGUGACCGGCCACAUUGGGACUGGAAUACGGCCCAGACUCCUACGGGAGGCAGCAGUGGGGAAGAUUGCACAAUGGGAGGAAGCCUGAUGCAGCAACGCCGCGUGCGGGAUGACGGCCUUCGGGUUGUAAACCGCUUUCGCCUGUGACGAAGCGUGAGUGACGGUAAUGGGUAAAGAAGCACCGGCUAACUACGUG
rnacentral:rRNA from 1 species